rnacentral:lncRNA from 1 species
GGAGAUGAAGAACCACAAAGAGGUGGAGAUGCUAAUACCCCCUCCUUGUGUGGCCAACCAUGGUGGAGGAGAGGGAGGAGCAUGGUGUAGCCUCCUUAACCUCCAGAGAAAGAUGAUGCCUAUCUUUAUCUGUAUAUAGGCUAGGCAUUUCAAGUUGGGUCAUCCAUGACCUAUAUCAUUUGAAAUGAUCCAUGUGGGUCAUCAAGUAGGUCAAAACCCACCAUCUUUACCAUGUGGC